GGCGAACGCUGGCGGCGUGCUUAACACAUGCAAGUCGAACGUGAUUUUUGUGGAAAUUCUUUCGGGAAUGGAAAUGAAAUGAAAGUGGCGAACGGGUGAGUAACACGUGAGCAACCUACCUUACACAGGGGGAUAGCCGUUGGAAACGACGAUUAAUACCGCAUGAGACCACAGAAUCGCAUGAUAUAGGGGUCAAAGAUUUAUCGGUGUAAGAAGGGCUCGCGUCUGAUUAGCUAGUUGGAAGGGUAAAGGCCUACCAAGGCGACGAUCAGUAGCCGGUCUGAGAGGAUGAACGGCCACAUUGGAACUGAGACACGGUCCAAACUCCUACGGGAGGCAGCAGUGGGGAAUAUUGCACAAUGGGGGGAACCCUGAUGCAGCGACGCCGCGUGAGCGAAGAAGGUUUUCGAAUCGUAAAGCUCUGUCCUAUGAGAAGAUAAUGACGGUAUCAUAGGAGGAAGCCCCGGCUAAAUACGUG
rnacentral:rRNA from 1 species